GUCUACAGCCAUGCUACCCUGAACAAGCCCCAUCCCGUCUGAUCUCAGAAGCUAAGCAGGGUUGGGCCCGGUUAGUACUUUGAUGGAAGACCACUUAGGAAGAUCAGGUGCUGUUGGCG
rnacentral:rRNA from 1 species